GACGAACGCUGGCGGCGUGCUUAACACAUGCAAGUCGAACGGAAAGGCCCUGCUCUUGUGGGGUGCUCGAGUGGCGAACGGGUGAGUAACACGUGAGUAACCUGCCCUUGACUUUGGGAUAACUUCAGGAAACUGGGGCUAAUAUCCGAUAGGAGCUCCUGCUGCACGGUGGGGGUUGGUAAGAUUCGGCGGUUGGGGAUGGACUCGCGGCUUAUCAGCUAGUUGGUGGGGUAGUGGCUUACCAAGGCUUUGACGGGUAGCCGGCCUGAGAGGUUGACCGGCGUCAUUGGUACUGAGGGAGGGCCCAGACUGCUACCGGACGCAGCAGUGGAGAGUAUUGCAGAAUGGCCGGAAGCCUGAUGCAGCAACGCCGCGUUCGGAAUAACGGCCUUCGGGUUAUAAACCGCUUUCGCAGGUGACAAAGCGUGAGUGACGGUAAUUGGUAAAGAAGCACCGGCUAACUACGUG
rnacentral:rRNA from 1 species